rnacentral:rRNA from 1 species
UACGUAGGGCGCAAGCGUUGUCCGGAAUUAUUGGGCGUAAAGAGCUCGUAGGCGGUCUGUUACGUCCGCUGUGAAAACCCAGGGCUUAACCCUGGGCUUGCAGUGGAUACGGGUAGACUAGAGGCAGGUAGGGGAGAAUGGAAUUCCCGGUGUAGCGGUGAAAUGCGCAGAUAUCGGGAGGAACACCGAUGGCGAAGGCAGGUCUCUGGGCAUUAACUGACGCUGAGGAGCGAAAGCAUGGGGAGCGAACAGG